GCUUGUGUAGCUCAGUCGGUAGAGCGCUGCGCCAGGAAGUAUGUCGCCGGUUCGAGUCCGGCCACAGGCA
rnacentral:tRNA from 1 species